rnacentral:misc_RNA from 1 species
UUGUGGAGGAGGACGCCGAAGGUGGGGCUAAUGACUGGGGUGAAGUCGUAACAAGGUAGCCGUACCGGAAGGUGCGGCUGGAUCACCUCCUAACAGGGAGACAACAAAAUGUUUAAUAUUAUUAUUUUGUCACCUUAGGUCGAUCGGUAUCUCACAUUCUUAAUUUAUUAAGGAUUUCAUUUCCUAAGUUUUUCUAGGUCACACCCAUUAUUUUCCUGGGCCAUUAGCUCAGGUGGUUAGAGCGCACCCCUGAUAAGGGUGAGGUCCCUGGUUCAAGUCCAGGAUGGCCCAUAUCUCUAUGUUGGGGGUAUAGCUCAGUUGGUAGAGCGCCUGCUUUGCAAGCAGGAUGUCAGCGGUUCGAGUCCGCUUACCUCCACUGAUUACCACCUCUUCCAUAAUCUGUAGAAAGGGAAUUUUUUGAGUCGUGACCAAAUUCUGAAAGAAUCUAGCUUCCUAAUGAAAUCAUUAAGAUGCUGGACUCAUUGAAUUAAUUUCAUCGUUUUCAGAGAACCUUGACAACUGCAUAGAUUAUUUUUUUAAAGACAAUAAGCAUCUUUUAAUGAUGCAGAUUUAUUAUUUGUGCGAAUGCAUUAAUAACAAUUCUAUUAAGCUGAUGCUUCAAUUUUGAAGUUAUUGGUCAAGCUACAA